AGGAGGAGGCUCUUGUUGUGACGACAAGGCGCGGGUAGCUUCGGCCCUCCAUUCGGCUUGACGCUGGGCUUCAGCAGUCGGCAAGCCCAGCUUCCAUGCAACCAUCACAAACGACAUCGCAAAGACGAGAGAAGAGGGAAGUCAAGGCGCUCACCGCAACCCGGAAGGCAUCCAUGCGAGCACUCUCCUCCUCUUCAAUCUGUGCCAGCUUCUUACCCGCGGCUACACUUCGUUCUAGUUUCUGGAAAUGAGAAGAGUUCCGCUCUCAGUUUUUUCCGGGCUCUGGAGACAAUUGAAAAAAUCAAGAGCAAGCACUGAAAGGUUUUUCUUCCGUGAAGUUACCUCCAGUCGAUUGCUCCGUACAUAUCUUGCAUUUUGGCUUGCUGGGCUUGAACUUCUCGCAGCUCUCCAUUCAGCCUGGCCUGCUCACAUUAUUCGUCAGUGGCUAUGUAAAGUUUGUCCUUGCAAAAGAAAUAAAAGUUUACUUUGAUUUA